GACGAACGCUGGCGGCGCGCCUAACACAUGCAAGUCGAACGGAGCUGAGAGAAGCUUGCUUUUCUUAGCUUAGUGGCGAACGGGUGAGUAACGCGUGAGUAACCUGCCCUGGAGUGGGGGACAACAGUUGGAAACGACUGCUAAUACCGCAUAAGCCCACGAUCCGGCAUCGGAUUGAGGGAAAAGGAUUUAUUCGCUUCAGGAUGGACUCGCGUCCAAUUAGCUAGUUGGUGAGGUAACGGCCCACCAAGGCGACGAUUGGUAGCCGGACUGAGAGGUUGAACGGCCACAUUGGGACUGAGACACGGCCCCGACUCCUACGGGAGGCAGCAGUGGGGGAUAUUGCACAAUGGGGGAAACCCUGAUGCAGCGACGCCGCGUGGAGGAAGAAGGUUUUCGGAUUGUAAACUCCUGUCGUUAGGGACGAUAAUGACGGUACCUAACAAGAAAGCACCGGCUAACUACGUG
rnacentral:rRNA from 1 species